GUCAGCAGCAACAAACACAACAACAAUAAGGGAGUUGGGAGUCACAGCAGCCCUCACCUAAUGGGCAAAAUUGGGCCCAACAGCCCCCUUGGCCCAACCCGCAGCAGCAACAUUGGCCUCAACAAGGCUGGGCCGUACCUCCUGCCCCCUUUCCAACCAGUGGGAUGUACCAGUCUCGACCCAAUGGACCCCCUGCUCGUGGUUUGUAUUCUCAGCAAGCCUACACCAUGGGUCAACCUCAAUACGGGCCGCCUAUGACUCCCACGGAGCUCGGGAGUGCGUAUUCCUCAAUGAGUCUAUCAAGUCCGGACAAUGGGUGGUACAUGGACUCCGGAGCUACUUCUCAUAUGACUCAUACCUUAGGACCUUCGAACGGGGAGGGUACUAGCGAGAUGCAAUAGUUCCGGCGACCUUUAUCCAGUCACGUCCACAUUACCAAGCACCUACCUUGCCACUUCUCUUACCACAGUCACUCCAACCACUUGGCAUGACCGCUUAGGACACCCUGGAGCACCUUCUAUUAAUUUUCUUAGGAGCAAUAAUUUUAUUGAUUGUAAUAAGGAGCUUGACUCCAAUUUUUGCAAUUCUUGUCAAAUAGGGAAAUAUGUUAGACUUCUGUUUUAUAACUCAAAUAAUCAUACUUAUUGUGCGUUUGAUAUUAUUCAUGCUGAUUUA